rnacentral:misc_RNA from 1 species
GAUGAAGAACGCAGCGAAAUGCGAUACUUGGUGUGAAUUGCAGAAUCCUGUGAACCAUCGAGUCUUUGAACGCAAGUUGCGCCCGAAGCCAUUAGGCCGAGGGCACGCCUGCCUGGGCGUCACACGUCGUUGCCCCCCCAUCUACUCCUUCGGGAUUGCGGGGGGCGGAUGAUGGCCUCCCGUGCGCCUCGUCGCGCGGUUGGCAUAAAUGCCAAGUCCUCGGCGACGCACGCCACGACAAUCGGUGGUUGCGAAACCUCGGUUGCCCGUCGUGUGCGGUCGUCGCGCAUCGAGGGCUCGAAAAAAUUGCCGGGCUCCGGCUCGGCUUUCAACGCGACCCCAGGUCAGGCGGGGUUACCCGCUGAAUUUAAGCAUAUCAAUAAGCGGAGGA